CAGAUAAGAACAUUUCUAUUUCGAUAUUUCUCUCAGAGCAGCUUCUGAUCUAAGAAUGCAAUAUUCAAUAAUAAAAGCAUCAUACUGGCGUCAAUUAAAGUCUUAUUUCCAGCAAGUAAAUAAAAGCCGACAAGUUGGACGUUAAAGACGCAUUUAGUGAGAAGUUAUCAUCUGAAUUGCAAAAAGGUGAUGUUCAAAGAAAUAAGAUGCUGAUCCUAUUUUAAAUGACACAUAGAUGUGAUGAAAGAUUUACGCGACAAAAGUCUCUGAAAACACAUAUGACAAUUCUUACUGUCGAGAAGAAUCAUGUAUGUAAAAUUUAUGAUAUAGCAUUUUCUCAAGAACUAUAUCUUAUAAAACAUAUGGUAUCACAGACUGGUUAGAAGAAUUAAAUAUGUAACAUAUUUGAUAAAGCAUUUUCUCAACAAAAUACUUUGAUCAUGCAUAUGACAAUACAUACUGGCGACAAGAAUCAUAGAUGUAAAAUAUGUAAGAAAACAUUUUCUCAUCGUGGUAAUUUGAUCACACAUAUGACAAUACACACUGGCGAGAAGAAUCAUGUAUGUGACAUUUCUGAUAAAGUAUUUUCCUAAGAACGAUAUCUUAUCAUACAUAUGGCAUCACAUACUGGCGAGAAGAAUUAUAUAUGCAAAAUAUGUGAUAAAACAUUUUCUCAACGAAGUUCUCUGGAUAGACAUAUGACAAUACAUACUGGCGAGAAAUGUAUGUAAAAUUUGUGAUAAAGCAUUUUCUCAAGGACGGUAUCUUAUCAAUCAUAUGGUAACACAUACUGGUGAGAAGAAUUAUAUAUGUGACAUAUGUGAUAAAGGAUUUUCUCAAAAGAGUACUUUAAACAGGCAUAUGACAAUACAUACUGGCGAGAAAAGACAUAGAUUUAAAUGUAAAAUAUGUAAUAAAACAUUUUCUUAUCCAAGUAAUUUGAUCACACAUAUGAAAGUACAUACUGGCGAGAAGAAUUAUAAAUGUGAAAUAUGUGACAAAUCAUUUUUGCAACGAGGUGCUUUGAUCACACAUAUGACAAUACACACUGGCGAGAGAAAACAUUUAUGUAAUUUUUGUGGUAAAGUAUUUUCUAACCGCUAUUCUCUGAAAACACAUAUGGCAAUACAUACUGGUGAAAAGAAUUAUAAAUAUAGCAUGUGAUCAAA